rnacentral:rRNA from 1 species
UACGUAGGCAGCAAGCGUUGUUCGGAGUUACUGGGCGUAAAGAGCGCGUAGGCGGUCCUGUAAGUUUGGUGUGAAAUCUCCCGGCUCAACUGGGAGGGUGCGCCGAAGACUGCAGGGCUUGAGUAUGGGAGAGGUAAGCGGAAUUCCUGGUGUAGCGGUGAAAUGCGUAGAUAUCAGGAGGAACACCUGUGGUGUAGACAGCUUACUGGACCAUAACUGACGCUGAGGCACGAAAGCGUGGGUAGCAAACAGG